rnacentral:rRNA from 1 species
AACGAACGCUGGCGGCAUGCCUAACACAUGCAAGUCGAACGAGACCUUCGGGUCUAGUGGCGCACGGGUGCGUAACGCGUGGGAACCUGCCCUUAGGUUCGGAAUAACUCCCCGAAAGGGGUGCUAAUACCGGAUAAUGUCUUCGGACCAAAGAUUUAUCGCCUUUGGAUGGGCCCGCGUUGGAUUAGCUAGUUGGUAGGGUAAAAGCCUACCAAGGCGACGAUCCAUAGCUGGUCUGAGAGGAUGAUCAGCCACACUGGGACUGAGACACGGACCAGACUCCUACGGGAGGCAGCAGUGGGGAAUAUUGGACAAUGGGCGAAAGCCUGAUCCAGCAAUGCCGCGUGAGUGAUGAAGGCCUUAGGGUUGUAAAGCUCUUUUAACCGGGAUGAUAAUGACAGUACCGGGAGAAUAAGCUCCGGCUAACUCCGUG